AUUGACAGUAAUUAUUUUGUAGUGGUUAUUAAUUGCUAAAUAGCUGCGAAAGCCAGCUUUUGGAGCGUGGUGUCUGCACUAUUUCCAAGGCACUCUCUCUGCAGGAGCAGGAAUGGAAGCUGGUGGUGUUUCUAGCAGCGUAUAAUUCCCUGGUUUUUUUGUUAUUUCUAAUUGAAAUGACUCUGCUCCCUUUGCUGCUUUGGCUCCCAGAAAGUGGGGUGUGCGGGGGGGUGUUAUUUACAGGCAGGGGAGUGGAUGCUCGGCAGGUGAUUUGGGGAUUCCAGCUGAUGGAAAACCAAAUGAAAAAUCAGCGGGUGACAUCGAGUUCCUCUGUCACUUGGGGUGACUCGGUGGCACCUGCAGGUAGACAGGAACGGGUCCCAGUUCCUCCUGUGAAGCUGAUUUGGUGCCUGGUUAUGGCAGCGAUGUUGCUAUUUCUUAGAAAUUCUUUUUGCUUUUACCUUUUUCACUUGGGGAAAGGAUUUUAUGAGACACCUGAUCAAACUGGCGGUGCAGCCGAGUGCUUCGGGUGCCGUACGUCCUCGCCCCUUCUGCCUUCUCCUGAGAUACCAUCAACUCCUGCUGGAGCAGCAAACUCACCUGGAGCCAGGAAUAGUGGGGGAUUCCCCAAGUGGUAUCAAGAAAGGGAUGCACAAAGCAACAGAGAAGCCACUUGCCAUGAGGAGCAUCUCCAUGGAAAAUGGUGGCCGAGGAGAAUCUCCAUGGAAAAUGGUGACUGCUGGAUGUCCUCAUGAGGAGCACCUCCAUGGAGAAUGGUGACUGGUAGAUGUCCUCAUGAGGAGCACCUCCAUGGAGAAUGGUGACUGGUAGAUGUCCUCAUGAGGAGCAUCUCCACGGAAAAUGGUGGUUGCCAGAUGUCCUCGUGAGGAGCAUCUCCAUGGAAAAUGGUGGCUGCUAGAUGUCCUCAGCAAGCUCUGCUGGUGCCAGCCUCGGGGCCUCGCAUACCCAGAGCAGGAGCCACUUGGCACAGCCCAAAGCUGGACUGGUAGCACCAGUGCAGCCGCCCUGGUGGAUGAGGGGACACCACCUCCAGCCGGAAAGAGAACUUUCUGUAACUUAUUUCCCCAAAUCGCGAUGCGCAGGUGAUGCACAGACCCCAGCAGACGCCCCAGUGAGUAGUCCCCGUCUCCCAGCAGGAGGUGGGACGCUGUCAGGGGGUGGGGUGGGGUGGGGGGGGUCACACACACACAGUUCUGGGGUCGCUUCCGAAGCGUUAAGUCAAACUUUUAGGGUCAGGAUAUUCAAGGGGCCUUUGGUUUUCACCUUGCAAAACUUCUUUGUGUUGGACUCUCUAUACCUGACUGUGAUUUAAGAACGAGCAAUAUUGCAUCUCGCUUGCCCUGGACGGCACGAUUCAGAGUAUUAAAAAAAAAAAUAAAAUAAUAAAAUAACAACCCUCUACCGUCA
rnacentral:lncRNA from 1 species